UUGUACACACCGCCCGUCACACCAUGGGAGUGGGUUGUACCAGAAGUAGAUAGCUUAACCUUUUGGAGGGCGUUUACCACGGUAUGAUUCAUGACUGGGGUGAAGUCGUAACAAGGUAACCGUAGGGGAACCUGCGGUUGGAUCACCUCCUUACC
rnacentral:rRNA from 1 species